rnacentral:rRNA from 1 species
GCGAACGCUGGCGGCAGGCCUAACACAUGCAGGUCGAGCGGCCGUAGCAAUACGGCAGCGGCAGACGGGAGAGUAACACGUGGGAACGUGCCUAUCAGUUCGGAACAACCCAGGGAAACUUGGGCUAAUACCGGAUACGCCCUUACGGGGAAAGAUUUAUCGCUGAUAGAGCGGCCCGCGUCUGAUUAGCUAGUUGGUGAGGUAACGGCUCACCAAGGCGACGAUCAGUAGCUGGUCUGAGAGGAUGAUCAGCCUCAUUGGGACUGAGACACGGCCCAAACUCCUACGGGAGGCAGCAGUGGGGAAUAUUGGACAAUGGGCGCAAGCCUGAUCCAGCCAUGCCGCGUGGGUGAUGAAGGCCCUAGGGUUGUAAAGCCCUUUCGGCGGGGAAGAUAAUGACGGUACCCGCAGAAGAAGCCCCGGCUAACUUCGU